rnacentral:tRNA from 1 species
GGACCGGUGGUGUAGUGGUAACGCAUUGCGUCCGAACGUGAAGUGGAAUGGUUCGAUUCCUUUUCAGUCCA